GUGGGGAAUAUUGGACAAUGGGCGCAAGCCUGAUCCAGCAAUGCCGCGUGGGUGAAGAAGGUCUUCGGAUCGUAAAGCCCUUUCGACAGGGACGAUGAUGACGGUACCUGUAGAAGAAGCCCCGGCUAACUUCGUGCCAGCAGCCGCGGUAAUACGAAGGGGGCUAGCGUUACUCGGAAUUACUGGGCGUAAAGGGCGCGUAGGCGGCUCUGUUAGUCAGGCGUGAAAUUCCUGGGCUUAACCUGGGGACUGCGCUUGAUACUGCAGGGCUUGAGGCCGAGAGAGGGUGGUGGAAUUCCCAGUGUAGAGGUGAAAUUCGUAGAUAUUGGGAAGAACACCAGUGGCGAAGGCGGCUCACUGGCUCGAUACUGACGCUGAGGUGCGAAAGCGUGGGGAGCAAACAGGAUUAGAAACCCCUGUAGUCC
rnacentral:rRNA from 1 species